rnacentral:rRNA from 1 species
UCGAACGAGAAAGUGGAGCAAUCCAUGAGUAAAGUGGCGCACGGGUGAGUAACACGUGACUAACCUACCCUUGAGUGGGGGAUAACUUCGGGAAACCGAGGCUAAUACCGCAUAAUACCCACGGGUCAAAGGAGCAAUUCGCUCGAGGAGGGGGUCGCGGCCGAUUAGUUAGUUGGCGGGGUAAUGGCCCACCAAGACGAUGAUCGGUAUCCGGCCUGAGAGGGCGCACGGACACACUGGAACUGAAACACGGUCCAGACUCCUACGGGAGGCAGCAGUGGGGAAUUUUGCGCAAUGGGGGAAACCCUGACGCAGCAACGCCGCGUGGAGGAUGAAGUCCUUCGGGACGUAAACUCCUUUCGAUCGGGACGAUAAUGACGGUACCGAGAGAAGAAGCCCCGGCUAACUUCGUGCCCGCAGCCGCGGUAAU